GCUUCCUUCUUCUUCUUUUUUUGUUUUUUGGCAGUGACUUCUUCUCGGUUACCCCGGUAGCCUACAGAAAAGAGGACAAAUCCGUGAAAACCGAACGCAGUUUCCCCCCCCCCCCCGGCUCCCCGGUUCGGGAUUUAUUUCGGGAUGCACUUUGAGCUUGGAGGUUCGGUGGAAGAAUGCACACCUGAAUGGCUUCACAGAUGUGAGAGGCUCAUUUGCAUGGUGUGCAGGGAAGCUCUAACAGCAGAAUGACCGUGAUUUAACUGCAGCUCAUUGCUUUGCAGAACAGACAGCAAUGACGAAGAGAGACACGGUGAAUCUGCGGUCAGCAUUCUGAUGGGGACGCCGACAAAACUGCAGCCCCGGAACUACAAAAUAUUAACUUGUGAUGUGAAGAUGAACUUUCCUUUGGAUUUAAAAAAAUAAAUAAAUAAAGUUCAGGCAUGACUA